rnacentral:rRNA from 1 species
UACGUAGGGUGCAAGCGUUGUCCGGAAUUAUUGGGCGUAAAGGGCUCGUAGGCGGCCCACUAAGUCGGAUGUGAAAUCCCCAGGCUUAACCUGGGAACUGCAUCUGAUACUGGAUGGCUUGAAUCCGGGAGAGGGAUGCAGAAUUCCAGGUGUAGCGGUGAAAUGCGUAGAUAUCUGGAGGAAUACCGAUGGCGAAGGCAGGUCUCUGGGCUGACACUGACGCUCAUGCGCGAAAGCGUGGGGAGCAAACGGG